rnacentral:rRNA from 1 species
UACGGGGGGGGCAAGCGUUUGUUCGGAAUUACUGGGCGUAAAGGGCGCGUAGGCGGCCAGCACAAGUCAGUUGUGAAAUCUCCGAGCUUAACUCGGAAAGGUCAACUGAUACUGUGCGGCUAGAGUGCGGAAGGGGCAACUGGAAUUCUUGGUGUAGCGGUGAAAUGCGUAGAUAUCAGGAGGAACACCGGUGGCGAAGGCGGAUCUCUGGGCCUUACCUGACGCUGAGGCGCGAAAGCUAGGGGAGCAAACAGG